AUUGAACGCUGGCGGCAUGCCUUACACAUGCAAGUCGAACGGCAGCACGGGUGCUUGCACCUGGUGGCGAGUGGCGAACGGGUGAGUAAUACAUCGGAACAUGUCCUGUAGUGGGGGAUAGCCCGGCGAAAGCCGGAUUAAUACCGCAUACGAUCUACGGAUGAAAGCGGGGGACCUUCGGGCCUCGCGCUAUAGGGUUGGCCGAUGGCUGAUUAGCUAGUUGGUGGGGUAAAGGCCUACCAAGGCGACGAUCAGCAGCUGGUCUGAGAGGACGGCCAGCCACACUGGGACUGAGACACGGCCCAGACUCCUACGGGAGGCAGCAGUGGGGAAUUUUGGACAAUGGGCGAAAGCCUGAUCCAGCAAUGCCGCGUGUGUGAAGAAGGCCUUCGGGUUGUAAAGCACUUUUGUCCGGAAAGAAAUCCUUGGCCCUAAUACGGUCGGGGGAUGACGGUACCGGAAGAAUAAGCACCGGCUAACUACGUG
rnacentral:rRNA from 1 species